rnacentral:tRNA from 1 species
UGCAUCGGCCGGGAAUCGAACCCGGGCCGAGCGCGUGGCAGGCGAGCCUUCUACCACUGAACCACCGAUGC